GGCCUCUCCCACACCCCAGCCAUCCACACAUCCAGCCCCACCUGCUCAGUACUACUCCCCUCAACAUUUGAAUUCGUGUAAAUAUUUAUUUUUGUGUGUGAACAAUACUACAAAGUAAUCAGUGAGAUCUUUUGCAAAAUGUUACCCCAGGCAAUUUGUGAGAAUCUUAAUGUUAAAACCUGGCAGAGACAAUCGCCACCCUAGAAUUCCUGGUAUCAGUUACUUAACAUGUCACUUCUCCUCCCAGAGGCAGUACCCAAGCUAGACGUGGACCGUUUGCAUUUCUUGGCAGACAGGAGUGAGAAAGACCGGGGAAGGGGCUCCCUCCCACUACCCACACAAGGAUUAGAUCUAAAGAUCAGCAUAAGCUACAGUUUGAAAUCACGUUUUUCUGAGUUCAAGCUGUUGGAACUGACCACCCUCUAGCCUGCCUUAGUACUGCGGCAAGAGCAUAGGUUCAAUGUGUUUUCAAGAGAAAGGAAAGAAUAUGUCAGUGGUUAAAGUCCAUUGGGCCUCCCAGGCCCCUCCAGGACAAGGGAUUUCAUCAUGUUGACCCCAUCUCUUGGGUGGGCUCCUCCUUUCCAGUGAAACUACACCUGAAGCCCUGGAGAUGGCAGAAUCAGGAGCAAGUUUCUGCAUGGAAACGGGAUUCCAUUUAGCUGGCUCAGUCAGGGAACUUGUUCUGUUUUGCUUUUGUUUUAAAAGAUACAGCUUCAACCCCUUCCCCCUACUCCUGACUUGGAGGGCACCAAAGAGCUGGUUCUGAUGAACCAAGCUCGCUGCUGUCUCACCCUCACCAGAGAGACUGCCUUCUCCCAAAAGGAGCUCCCAAAGCCCUGUCCCGCAGCCAUUUAAAAAUCUUCUGACGGGCCUCAGGGCACAAAGUAAUCAUUUGGGAUCCUAAGUUAAAAAGGCAAUGCAAGAGUAGGAUACUCCAAUUCCAGAGUCUUUGCAGGGGCUAAUCCCAUGAGAAGGGCAGCAUCAGAGAAGUGGGCAUUGGUCUUAGUGGUGGACCAUCAGGUAGACAAGUGAUAGUGUGUGUAACCCAUCUGAAACUCAUUUUACCGUCGCCACUCUUACAGAGGACAGUUUAUUCCCAAGGACAGUGCUGACAGGGAGGGGGACAGGCAGGGAGUUAGGAGGGUUUUCGAGGAUUUCAAACAGGUGGAACCCAUCCAUCCCUAUUCCCAAGGGCCACUUACAACUCCAAGGGUGGUUAUAGGAUUAACUACCAGUUCAUUUUCAAAAUGCUGCUUUGAACUCAGAGGGUUGAUACUUUUAAUUUGUAAUUUUUUGUAAAACUUUUUACAAAAUAGUAAAGUAUUUCACCAGAAUACCAGUUUCAAUCCGUCCAUGGUCUGAUUUUUAUAUAAUUUAGUGGUGCUUUAGAAACUUUGUUUUUGUUGUUUCUGAGCUAAACAGCUCAAUCCUUUUUCGCCUGUAUCUACCUAAGACCAAUGUGAACCUUUGUAUUUUUGCUCCUAAUUUUGGACUCAGUGAAAGUGUACUGUUUACAUGUACAGAUGCCCCCAGUCCCUGUGUGUUCUGCAAGACUUGCUCUUGAGGAGGAAGAUGAACCUCACUAAGCUCAUCUGCUUAGCAAAGCCACAAACAAAAACCUCUCACUUUUUACCUACGUUUCCACCUAAAAAUACAACAAAAAACCUACACCAUAUAGAACUCAUAUUGGCUGAAAAACUUUCCACCUGGUAGAUGGCCCAUAUGCCUCUAUUAUGUGGUUCAUUUAGGAGCAGGAGUCAGAAGAGAGACCUCCUAUUGGCUGCUGGUGGGUAACUGCAUGGACAGAGGAAAAGGGAGGGCAGGACUUUGCUGCAGAGCUAUGGGAUGAAUGUAGUUCUUCCCUGGGCAGCCUGGGAGUGGGAAGGUCAGAAUGACUCACGUGGCCUUCAGGAUCAAGCCAACCAGGAUUUAGGGACAACCCAAGAGGUCUUUAGUCCUCUGGCGUGAUUUAGACAUGUUUUGGAAGAGCACGAGUUCCGUAUCUGAGAUGAGAUGUUAAGACUUUCAGUGCAGACAGUACAAGCCAUUUCUUCAGGGUUCCUCUGGGGGCAGCUCCUUCAUGAGGUCCCACCUCCGGGGAGGGGCACAGGACUCCAGAUAGUAAGCACUUAAGGCAAACAGUGGAUGGCACCAACUUUUAAAGGUGACUCUUUGUUAAUCAAUGGCUUCACCUCUAAAUUAUAUUUUUACAGAUAAUGCACCUAUGCAACUUAACGUGGCUCUUCUAAGCAGGUGAGGACUUCCUCCUCAAUGCUCUCUAUAAAAAUCAUUUGUGUUCUAUAUAGUGAGUUUUACCAGUAAAUGUGGCUUAAUAUUUUAAUUCUUAGAAUGUGUCUUCUGUACGUGAUGCGACUAAAUUCUGUUUUGUUUGUGGAAUGACUAGCACAGGCCGACUCCCUCUCUCCCUCACUUAACAAAAGACCAAUGAGCUGUUAAUCGAGCUGUUAUCUCCAUGGUAUUACUUGCUAAAUGCACUGAUUUCAUAAGUAUGUGGAAUCCUUUUCCUUUUGAAUCUGUAUAUCAUAUAUAAGACUGAAUCUACUUAAUAAACACUGAACAA
ensembl:lncRNA